rnacentral:rRNA from 1 species
GGAGGAUGACGGUUUUAGGAUUGUAAACUCCUGUUAAGUGGGAAGAAAGGCCAGUCUCUAAUAUAGACUGGAAAUGACGGUACCACUAGAGAAAGCACCGGCUAACUUCGUG